UGCAAGUCGAGCGCAGGAAUAAACAGAACCCUUCGGGGUGAUGUUUAUGGAAUGAGCGGCGGACGGGUGAGUAACACGUGGGCAACCUGCCUGUAAGAUCGGGAUAACUCGCGGAAACGUGAGCUAAUACCGGAUAACACUUUUCAUCUCAUGGUGAGAAGAUAAAAGACGGUUUCGGCUGUCACUUACAGAUGGGCCCGCGGCGCAUUAGCUAGUUGGUGAGGUAACGGCUCACCAAGGCGACGAUGCGUAGCCGACCUGAGAGGGUGAUCGGCCACACUGGGACUGAGACACGGCCCAGACUCCUACGGGAGGCAGCAGUAGGGAAUCUUCCGCAAUGGACGAAAGUCUGACGGAGCAACGCCGCGUGAGUGAUGAAGGUUUUCGGAUCGUAAAACUCUGUUGUUAGGGAAGAACAAGUUGGGUAGUAACUGACCCAACCUUGACGGUACCUAACCAGAAAGCCACGGCUAACUACGUGCCAGCAGCCGCGGUAAUACGUAGGUGGCAAGCGUUGUCCGGAAUUAUUGGGCGUAAAGCGCUCGCAGGCGGUCUUUUAAGUCUGAUGUGAAAGCCCACGGCUUAACCGUGGAGGGUCAUUGGAAACUGGAGGACUUGAGUACAGAAGAGGAGAGUGGAAUUCCACGUGUAGCGGUGAAAUGCGUAGAGAUGUGGAGGAACACCAGUGGCGAAGGCGACUCUCUGGUCUGUAACUGACGCUGAGGAGCGAAAGCGUGGGUAGCGAACAGGAUUAGAUACCCUGGUAGUCCACGCCGUAAACGAUGAGUGCUAGGUGUUAGGGGGUUUCCGCCCCUUAGUGCUGAAGUUAACGCAUUAAGCACUCCGCCUGGGGAGUACGGCCGCAAGGCUGAAACUCAAAAGAAUUGACGGGGGCCCGCACAAGCGGUGGAGCAUGUGGUUUAAUUCGAAGCAACGCGA
rnacentral:rRNA from 1 species